GAUCCGUUAGCUCAGUCGGUAGAGCAUUUGACUUUUAAUCAAAGGGUCUCGGGUUCGAAUCCCGAACGGGUCACCA
rnacentral:tRNA from 2 species